GAACAACCAGUCCAUGUAAACAAAAGUCGAAGAAUAAUUCCCAGACUUGGUAUACAACAAACGGUGAUGGUAAUCAUGGUAAUCAGAUCCUCCAUACAAAGGCAAGAAGUUGGAGGGGCUCCACGGGAAGUGAUACCCACUGUGUGCCUCAACUGUCUCCAAGACACGUAAAACCACCCAUAACCACAUAGUGAGCAGGUGAGGGCCAGUGAGAGCAGGACCAAUGACAGUUGCAAAGCCAAGGAAUAAAAUCUCAGCGGGAUGGGCAUACUCAGAAGCCAAUCCAAAUGGUGUUGCAUAUUCGUGAUGAACACUAUGGACAUGCUGGUAUAGCCAUUUAGUGUGCAGUACUCUAUGGCCCCAAUAGAACACAAAAUCCUCCAGGAUAAAGUAG
rnacentral:misc_RNA from 1 species